rnacentral:rRNA from 1 species
GACGAACGCUGGCGGCGUGCUUAACACAUGCAAGUCGAACGAAGAGCGACGGAAGCUUGCUUCUAUCAAUCUUAGUGGCGAACGGGUGAGUAACGCGUAAUCAACCUGCCCUUCAGAGGGGGACAACAGUUGGAAACGACUGCUAAUACCGCAUACGAUCUAACCUCGGCAUCGAGGAUAGAUGAAAGGUGGCCUCUACAUGUAAGCUAUCACUGAAGGAGGGGAUUGCGUCUGAUUAGCUAGUUGGAGGGGUAACGGCCCACCAAGGCGAUGAUCAGUAGCCGGUCUGAGAGGAUGAACGGCCACAUUGGGACUGAGACACGGCCCAGACUCCUACGGGAGGCAGCAGUGGGGAAUCUUCCGCAGUGGACGAAAGUCUGACGGAGCAACGCCGCGUGAGUGAUGACAGCCUUCGGGUUGUAAAGCUCUGUUAAUCGGGACGAAAGGCCUUCUUGCGAAUAGUGAGAAGGAUUGACGGUACCGGAAUAGAAAGCCACGGCUAACUACGU